rnacentral:tRNA from 1 species
UAGCUCAGUCAGGCGAGCGUGGCGCUAACAACGCUAAGGUCACGGGUUCGAUUCCCGU